CAAAAAUUGAGUUUGAUGAUGGCUCUGAGUGAACGCUGUCCAAAUGCUUGACACAUGCUAAUCGAACGACUAAUUUUAUAUAAUAUUAUUAGUAGUGGUGUACAGGUGAGUAAUGAUAACCUAGCUGCCUUAAAGUAAGGAUGAAAAGAUCCCUUAUAAAAAAAAAGAAAUAGAAAGUUUCGCUUUAAGAUGUUAGUUUAUCCCGGAAGAGUAAUAGUUAAAUCUAGCUCGGGUUUCGGUAGUCGUGACUGAGAGGUCGAUCGACCACAUUGGGUCUGAAAAAAGCCCAAUGCGUAAUGUACAGCAGUGGGGAAUAUUGGUCAAUGGUCUAAGGACUGAACCAGCAAUUUGGAGGAAUGAAAAACGAAUAAGUCGUAUAAAGUUCUAGAUAAAAAAUUUAUAAUGACUAAUUUUUAUCUAUAAGUCUUGACCAAAUUACGUGCCAGCAGUCGCGGUAAUACGUAGAAGACAAGUGUUAUUCAUCUUUAACAGGUUUAAAGGGUACCUAGACGGAAAAUCAAGCCAUAGUAGGGACUAAUUUUCUAGAGUUUUAUGUGUGAAGAAUCGAAUUACCUGAGAAGCAAUAAUAUGCAAUGAUACAGGUAAGACGGGUAGCAGCGAAGGCAAUCUUCUAUGUAGAAACUGACGUUGAGGGACGAAGCCUUGGGGAGCGAUAAGGAUUAGAUACCCUAGUAGUCCUUGGAGAAAAUGAUGAGUGCCAUAGACUAGAAUCUAGUCUAUAAAUGAAAGUGUAAGCAUUCCACCUCAUGAGUAAAGCGGCAACGCCGAAAUUGAAAUCAUUAGACCGUUUCUGAAACCAGUAGUGAAGUAUGUUAUUUAAUUCGAUGGUCCGCGAAUAACCUUACCACCUCUUGAAUAUUUUUACAAGCGCUGCACGGCUGUCUUCAGUUAAUGUCGUGAGAUUUUGGUUUGUUCCAUUAAUUAACGAAAACCCAUGUUUUAUUUUAUAUAUAAAGCAGUUCACCGUUAUAUUGGAUAAGAUAAACGGGAUCAAGACAAGUCAUCAUGGCCUUAAUGAGUGUGGGCUAUAGACGUGCCACAUAUGCCUCUACAAAGGGAAGCGAUAUUGUGAAAUGGAGCUAAACCUCAAAAUUGGACAUAACUAUUCGUGAAUUGUAGUCUGAAACCCGACUACAUGAAUAUGGAAUUACUAGUAAUCGUGAAUCAUCACGUCACGGUGAAUUUUAUCUCAGAUGGGUACUAACUACUCGUCAGGCGCUGAAAGGGAUAUGCGCAAUAAGUUUGGUUGCAAAUUGAUGUUUAUUAUACUUAAGUAGCUGUAUAUUAUUUAGUUUGUAAUUUUCGUAUGCGUGAUCUCAAUUGGUGUUAAGUCGAAAUAUGGUUCGUGUAAUGGAAAUUGCACGGGAUAUAUUAUCCUU
rnacentral:rRNA from 1 species